GACAGAGGGUGCAAACGUUGUUCGGAAUUACUGGGCGUAAAGGGUGCGUAGGCGGUCCCAUAAGUCAGUGGUGAAAUACUCUAGCUCAACUAGAGGGGUGCCAUUGAUACUGCGGGACUUGAGUGAAGUCGAAGUAGGCGGAAUUGACGGUGUAGCGGUGAAAUGCUUAGAUAUCGUCAAGAACACCGAUAGUGAAGACAGCUAACUAAGCUCAAACUGACGCUGAGGCACGAAAGUGUGGGGAUCAAACAGG
rnacentral:rRNA from 1 species